CUGGUCCUCAAUCCUCAAGCUCUAACAGGAGGUCUGCCUGACUUCCCAGCUCUCCUGAGAAAGAAAGAAAGAAAGAAAGAAAGGGCAAAAAAAAUGGUGGUCAGAUGCAUGGCAAGGUUUGAUGAGGCAAUUCUUGGAUUCAGAAAUUACAAAUGCAACAAGAAGAGGGUAGAGGAAGGACAGAGAUUUAAUCAGUCAUAAUUCAAGAAUUUUGUCAUUGGUUUGUAACCUAUACAACAGUUUACACCUCGAGAACAAAAAUUUGAAGGUGAUGCAAUUACCAACUUCAUAAAAGAACACUUCAUACUUGGCAAGAAACUUGAAACAUUCUGUUGUUGUAUAUGCAAAGUACCUGUUAUGAAUGGGAUCAGGCCCGUUAGGAACUUUCCUCUUGCUAGUGUAGAAAGGAUCCAAGUUGUUUUCUGGCCUUGCCAUUGCUGAAACCACAGCCGGAGCAGCCACCUGUAGUGCAACUCUGGCCCCUGCAGAGUGCGCUUCCAUGGACACCAGGAGAGCAAUGCAGAAGAGGAAUGGCAAGCCAGUGCACAAGUCUCUUGCCAUCUCUGCUGCCGACUUGAGCUCCAGAGGAGGAACGAUGCAGUGGAUGGCUUCCUAGUUUGUGCAAGUUAUUAUACUGAGGGAUCCCUUUGCUCUCCUUUUCUGCUUUAGUAUCUUUUUCUUUUAUCUUUGUAGUUUGGAAGUGAUUCUGUAGUGCUUUUGUGGGACUGUGGAGGGGAGAGAACAAAAGCAAGCAGGCUCUGAACGUGAAGUGUUGAUUUGGAGCUCCUUUGCUUGGGACCAAGAGGCAAUAGCGGAGCAGGCCGGGGUGAUUUACCCAGGCUAUGGGCCUUGAGCGCUAAUGUCAAUGCCAGCUAGCCUUCUCUUUCCACCGAUGCCGAUGUCAUUACCCGAGCUAGCCUCCUCUUUCUGCUAUGCCGAUGUCAUCACCCGGGCUAACCUCCUCAUUCCGCUGAUGCCGACUCGGGCUAGCCUCUCUAUCUCUUGUUUUUUUUUCUUUCCUCACAUGUAAAUCUCUUUUUCACCCCUAUUAGGCCCCCGGCUACAACCUAGGUAGCUACAAACGUAGCUCCAUCCUUGCCAAUAGGGUCCACCAUACCCCUUCGUGUAGUGGGUUCUAUUAGAGUGAUCAUAUGUGUUUGUCCCACCAUAUAUUUAUCCCCUGUGCUCCUAAUGAUUCUCCUUUUAUCGACAUAAGGUCUUCGCGUGGGGGUCGUUAAUGUAGCAGUUCUAUAUUUUUUUCUACUUCAGUGAUCACUCGUGGUUCAAUCUUUAGCUAUGAUGCAUUUGUAAGGAAUUUUCUUUCAAACGGUGCACACAACCAUAGAUAUUGGGCUUCUGGGGCGCCUGCUAUAAAUAUUUUCCAAUUUGCCUUAGUGGCUGGUGAAAAAUUUUUAUGGGCCCGAACUGAUUGUCCCAGAUUCGAUGUUAUUUGGUUUAUCAAUUAUUUUUUUCUAUUACAGUGAUGACUGAUGUAUAUUCACAUAA